CUUCUUCCACAGGAGCCAAGGAGAACUCCUUGUUCAAAUCCUAACAAGUCUAAAUCCAAGAAAUUGAAAGGCCAAAUCAGUCCCAAAUCGAAAUCCAAGCUUAUAUUAGUGAUCACCUAAGUGAGGGAUCACAAGUUUGUCGCUUGACAAGCUAGGUGGAGGCUUGGAAAGGAAGCGGGUCAAAUGAAUCAUGUGUGAAGGAAAAGCGUGUUUUGGACGCAAGGUGUCUUUGAACUUAGGAUGGAUGAAGAUCAAGUGACGAACAUGAACCGAACACACGUUAAAUGAAGCUUCCGCGUUAAAUCUUGUUUUGUUUUAUAAAAGUGGAUUAUGUAAACACUUUUAAUGAUAUUUUGGAUGUUGAAAACAUUUUUAAAUACUUAUUAUGUAGAAGUUUUUGUUAA